rnacentral:rRNA from 1 species
AGAACGAACGCUGGCGGCAUGCCUAAUACAUGCAAGUCGAACGAACACUUCGGUGUUAGUGGCGCACGGGUGCGUAACGCGUGGGAAUCUGCCCUUGGGUUCGGAAUAACAGUUGGAAACGACUGCUAAUACCGGAUGAUAUCGAAAGAUCAAAGAUUUAUCGCCCAGGGAUGAGCCCGCGUAGGAUUAGCUAGUUGGUGAGGUAAAGGCUCACCAAGGCGACGAUCCUUAGCUGGUCUGAGAGGAUGAUCAGCCACACUGGGACUGAGACACGGCCCAGACUCCUACGGGAGGCAGCAGUAGGGAAUAUUGGACAAUGGGCGCAAAGCCUGAUCCAGCAAUGCCGCGUGAGUGAUGAAGGCCUUAGGGUUGUAAAGCUCUUUUACCCGAGAUGAUAAUGACAGUAUCGGAGAAUAAGCCCCGGCUAACUCCGUGCCAGCAGCCGC